CCCCAUGCGAAAAAAAGGAGAGAAAAUAAAAAUUUUCUCACCUGAAUUGAGAUAGAGAGAGCGUCAACAAAAUGCCAUCUUCUCACUGUAUUUGUGUGGAGAAAAUCAGGUUAUUCACGCCGCACGGGUGAAAAA